rnacentral:ncRNA from 1 species
CUUACCAGCGAGAAGGCCAUGCGCAGAACCAAAACUGCGAAAGUGGUAAGGCUCCAGAAGAACUUGUAGCACCAUUGCAAGCGGCGAAAGCCUGCACGGGGCAAAGGGUAAACAAAUUUGGACAUUGGCCGGUGGGAAUGGUGCUCCCGCCGGUCUUAU